ensembl:lncRNA
AUUUUUGCAUGUUGUUUAAACAUCUGUGGCAUACAUUGUAUUUAUUUAUUUAUUUAAGAAAAAAAAAUAUUUCACCCUACUUUUCAGGAGUUGUUGAUAUACCAAUAUCAAUUUUGUGUGGAACUUUAGGAAACAAUUGCUGGUGUGAAACAGAUGUGGGUGAUACAUUUCUGGCUGAGUCGUCCUGUACCAUUACAACUACAGGCACAGUUUCAGUAUCAAUGGAGAGCUAAUCUCCUUUAAGUUAAAACAGUAGAAUGUAAACAGAAUGACACCUGACUCCUGACACACACACAAAUACACACACUUGCUUGCCCACACACAUCACAUAUUUGACCCUAACUGACCAAUCACGGUCUUUUGACCCAUGAAAGGUGCAUUUUGUUUAAGUUAGUACAAGCUCAUGUUAUUGCGUGGUUUGAAUUAUUUUAUUAUCCCAUCACUCUGUACUCUCAAAACACAAAGGUUCUCAUAAGGACCUCCAAUCUCCACUCUAAAAAUGUGAUUCAAUUGAUAAAAUGAGUAUUAAAUGCUGCAGCUGCCUGAAAAACAAACAAACAAACAAACAAACAAAAAAAAAAAAAAAAAACAGAUCAUUUGAAUCAGACAAGAGAGCACCUAAAACAAGAAGUCCUCGGGGAGCUGAAAACCACUGCUUUAGAAUUACUGCCUCCAGAAACGAUGUCCAACUGCAUAAUGAUGCCCUUGUAAAUUUGCUCCCUCUUCAUUGUCCGCUUACAUUUACUUCCUCAUUAUGUUUCUCAUUACUUUGUAUUAUAUUUUGUGUUCUGCUGCAGUCCUUGAUGUUGCUUUUUCAUCAUGCACUUCUUCUCAAGUCUUAAAAUAUAUGCCCCUUCAUCUUCGAGUGUGUGCAGGUGUUUGCAUAUAACUUUGCUGAGUGUGAGCUUGUUGAGUACAGAUUUGAACAACAAGUCUAUGUGCAUUUCUGAAAUCGUAACACUGCAUCCCAAGUUACAUGUCUUAUGUUAUUACAUUAAAAA